rnacentral:rRNA from 1 species
UACAGAGGUCCCGAGCGUUGUUCGGAUUCAUUGGGCGUAAAGGGUGCGUAGGUGGCGCUGUAAGUCGGGUGUGAAAUUUCGGAGCUUAACUCCGAAACUGCAUUCGAUACUGCGGUGCUUGAGGACUGGAGAGGAGACUGGAAUUCAUGGUGUAGCAGUGAAAUGCGUAGAGAUCAAGUGGAACACCAGUGGCGAAGGCGAGUCUCUGGACAUUUCCUGACGCUGAGGCACGAAAGCCAGGGGAGCAAACGGG